rnacentral:rRNA from 1 species
AUUGAACGCUGGCGGCAGGCCUAACACAUGCAAGUCGAACGGUAACAGGAAGAAGCUUGCUUCUUUGCUGACGAGUGGCGGACGGGUGAGUAAUGUCUGGGAAACUGCCUGAUGGAGGGGGAUAACUACUGGAAACGGUAGCUAAUACCGCAUAACGUCGCAAGACCAAAGAGGGGGACCUUCGGGCCUCUUGCCAUCGGAUGUGCCCAGAUGGGAUUAGCUAGUAGGUGGGGUAACGGCUCACCUAGGCGACGAUCCCUAGCUGGUCUGAGAGGAUGACCAGCCACACUGGAACUGAGACACGGUCCAGACUCCUACGGGAGGCAGCAGUGGGGAAUAUUGCACAAUGGGCGCAAGCCUGAUGCAGCCAUGCCGCGUGUAUGAAGGAGGCCUUCGGGUUGUAAAGUACUUUCAGCGGGGAGGAAGGGAGUAAAGUUAAUACCUUUACUCAUUGACGUUACCCGCAGAAGAAGCACCGGCUAACUCCGUG